UACGAAGGGGGCUAGCGUUGCUCGGAAUCACUGGGCGUAAAGCGCACGUAGGCGGCUUUCUAAGUCAGGGGUGAAAUCCUGGAGCUCAACUCCAGAACUGCCUUUGAUACUGGAGAGCUUGAGUCCGGGAGAGGUGAGUGGAACUGCGAGUGUAGAGGUGAAAUUCGUAGAUAUUCGCAAGAACACCAGUGGCGAAGGCGGCUUACUGGACCGGUUCUGACGCUGAGGCGCGAAAGCGUGGGGAGCAAACAGG
rnacentral:rRNA from 1 species